rnacentral:tRNA from 1 species
CCGACCUUAGCUCAGUUGGAAGAGCGCGAGACUGUAAUGGAUGACUAUCUUGAGGUCGCCUGUUCGAGCCAGGCAGGUCGGA